rnacentral:rRNA from 1 species
GACGAACGCUGGCGGCGUGCUUAACACAUGCAAGUCGAACGGUGAAGCGCCUUCCUUUUUGGUUGGUGUGGAUGAGUGGCGAACGGGUGAGUAACACGUGAGUAACCUGCCCCCUUCUUCUGGAUAACCGCAUGAAAGUGUGGCUAAUACGGGAUAUUCUGGGUCUGUCGCAUGAUGGGUCUGGGACAGAUAUUGUUUCGGUGGGGGAUGGGCUCGCGGCCUAUCAGCUUGUUGGUGGGGUGAUGGCCUACCAAGGCGGUGACGGGUAGCCGGCCUGAGAGGGUGGACGGUCACACUGGGACGGAGACACGGCCAAGACUCCUACGGGAGGCAGCAGUGGGGAAUAUUGCACAAGGGGCGCAAGCCUGAUGCAGCGACGCCGCGUGAGGGAUGGAGGCCUUCGGGUUGUGAACCUCUUUCGCCAGUGAAGCAGGCCUGCCUCGUUUGUGGGUGGGUUGACGGUAGCUGGAUAAGAAGCGCCGGCUAACUACGUG